UACGGAGGGUGCGAGCGUUGUCCGGAAUCACUGGGCGUAAAGGGCGCGUAGGCGGCCUGAUAAGUAGGGGGUGAAAUCCUGCGGCUUAACCGCAGGGCUGCCUUCUAAACUGUCAGGCUUGAGCACAGUAGAGGCAGGUGGAAUUCCCGGUGUAGCGGUGGAAUGCGUAGAGAUCGGGAAGAACAUCAGUGGCGAAGGCGGCCUGCUGGGCAGUUGCUGACACUGAGGCGCGACAGCGUGGGGAGCAAACAGG
rnacentral:rRNA from 1 species